UACGAAGGGGGCGAGCGUUGUUCGGAUUUACUGGGCGUAAAGGGCGCGCAGGCGGCUUUGUUUGUCAGGCGUGAAAGCCCCGGGCUUAACCUGGGAACUGCGUUUGAUACGGCAGGGCUAGAGUUCGGGAGAGGAGAGUGGAAUUCCCAGUGUAGAGGUGAAAUUCGUAGAUAUUGGGAAGAACACCGGUGGCGAAGGCGGCUCUCUGGGCCGAUACUGACGCUGAGGCGCGAAAGCGUGGGGAGCAAACAGG
rnacentral:rRNA from 1 species